rnacentral:misc_RNA from 1 species
GAUGAAGAACGCAGCGAAAUGAGAUAAGUAAUGUGAAUUGCAGAAUUCAGUGAAUCAUCGAAUCUUUGAACGCACAUUGCGCCCUCUGGUAUUCCGGGGGGCAUGCCUGUUCGAGCGUCAUUAUAACCACUCAAGCUCUCGCUUGGUAUUGGGGUUCGCGGUUCCGCGGCCCCUAAAAUCAGUGGCGGUGCCUGUCGGCUCUACGCGUAGUAAUACUCCUCGCGAUUGAGUCCGGUAGGUCUACUUGCCAGCAACCCCCAAUUUUUACAGGUUGACCUCGGAUCAGGUAGGGAUACCCGCUGAACUUAAGCAUAUCAAUAAGCGGAGGA